UUUCCGUAGGUGAACCUGCGGAAGGAUCAUUAUCGAAUUUAGAGGGGAAGGAAGAUGAGGAGUGAAGACUGUCGCUGUCUUUACCGCCUGGGAAGCAUGUGCACGCCUUGCUUUUCGUUGACCUUUCUCUUACUCUCACACCUGUGCAACCAUGGUAGGUCCUCGAAAGAGGAUAUAUGUUUUUAUCAUCACACGCAUCGUAUGUCCAUAGAAUGUAACAUGAUAGUCGAUCGACCUCGCGGUCGGGUGUCGGUCUAAAUAAAUAAAUACAACUUUCAGCAACGGAUCUCUUGGCUCUG
rnacentral:misc_RNA from 1 species